rnacentral:rRNA from 1 species
AGAACGAACGCUGGCGGCAUGCCUAAUACAUGCAAGUCGAACGAACUCUUCGGAGUUAGUGGCGCACGGGUGCGUAACGCGUGGGAAUCUGCCCCUUGGUUCGGAAUAACAGUUGGAAACGACUGCUAAUACCGGAUGAUGACGAAAGUCCAAAGAUUUAUCGCCAAGGGAUGAGCCCGCGUAGGAUUAGCUAGUUGGUGAGGUAAAGGCUCACCAAGGCAACGAUCCUUAGCUGGUCUGAGAGGAUGAUCAGCCACACUGGGACUGAGACACGGCCCAGACUCCGUACGGGAGGCAGCAGUAGGGAAUAGUGGACAAUGGGACGAAAGCCUGACUCCAGCAAUGACCGCGUGAGUAGACUGGAA